rnacentral:rRNA from 1 species
UGGGGAAUAUUGGACAAUGGGGGGAACCCUGAUCCAGCCAUGCCGCGUGUGUGAAGAAGGCCUUUUGGUUGUAAAGCACUUUAAGCGAGGAGGAGGCUACCUAGAUUAAUACUUUAGGAUAGUGGACGUUACUCGCAGAAUAAGCACCGGCUAACUCUGUGCCAGCAGCCGCGGUAAUACAGAGGGUGCGAGCGUUAAUCGGAUUUACUGGGCGUAAAGCGUGCGUAGGCGGCCAAUUAAGUCAAAUGUGAAAUCCCCGAGCUUAACUUGGGAAUUGCAUUCGAUACUGGUUGGCUAGAGUAUGGGAGA